rnacentral:rRNA from 1 species
UUUCUACGAUUCUCGUGCCGUAGCUAACGCAUUAAGCGCCCCGCCUGGGGAGUACGGCCGCAAGGCUAAAACUCAAAGGAAUUGACGGGGGCCCGCACAAGCGGCGGAGCAUGUGGAUUAAUUCGAUGCAACGCGAAGAACCUUACCUGGGCUUGACAUACAUGAGAUCGCUGCAGAGAUGUAGUUUCCCUUUUGUGGUUGGUGUACAGGUGGUGCAUGGUUGUCGUCAGCUCGUGUCGUGAGAUGUUGGGUUAAGUCCCGCAACGAGCGCAACCCUUGUCUUAUGUUGCCAGCAUUCGGUUGGGGACUCAUGAGAGACUGCCGGGGUUAACUCGGAGGAAGGUGGGGAUGACGUCAAAUCAUCAUGCCCCUUAUG